rnacentral:lncRNA from 1 species
UAACAACACGUCUGGUCCUAUUGAGAACCUUGUUCUCAAAGUUAGAUUUUGACUAAACACAGUGACACAAUUUAAGUGAAGGCUUUAUCAGAACAAUUUUUUGGUAAUGUCAAUGGAUUAUGUUAGUUGAUGUAGUGUUGAUUAACGAAUGAUCGGAAUUCCCACAAAAAUGAUUUAAAAAUACUUUUGUUAAUUAUUAAAAGAAUUAUUUUUGAAGAAACAAGAAAAAGAGAUGAAUAGUGGAAUAAUAAAAAAGAUAAAUAAGCAACAGAAAAUGUAAAUAA